rnacentral:lncRNA from 1 species
AGAAAUGGAACCCUAUAUUUGCAAAUCACCAAAAUAAAACUGUGAAUUCUAUUACUUGUGAUUAGAUGAGGAAAUGGAGUUUCAAACUGCUUAACAUGAAGCAUGGAGCGCAGAGAGGCUAUUGCUGCUUUUGCUGGAGAAAAAAGAAGUUAUUUCCUCAUAGCAGUUCAUGCAGAUAUGGAAGUGUUUUUAAUAUGCAAAAUGAGCAUCUUAAAUUGUAGAAAGCAUCGUGCCUUAUAAAUCUUUCCUAUCUAUUUCUUAAG